GUGUCCUUGCGUACGCCAGUCCUCGUCGACAGGCAGACUUGCUCGGCUAGAUCGAUUUCGAUCGCCAAUAGAGUCGGUCUGUCGGCACGUCCUGCCUCCAGCAAUGGCCGGUGCUCCCCCGUGCAAGGAGGGAGCAAUGUUUUCCCUCCUGACGGCCGCCGUCUUCGGACAAGGGCCCGUUGUCCCCUAGUGAUACUAGGCGACAAAUCUUUGAAGAAGUAUCGGAGACGCCGUUGCAAAGACAAAGGCAAGAACAUCAUCAUCAUCAUCAUCAGGAUCUACAUGUAAACAAUCAGGCCGCGUGUGACACCCUCAGCCCCACGCUGGCCAGGCGCGGCGCCCCACACACCAGAACACUUCCUGCCACGGCUACACUCCCCCACACCAGCCGCAAGGCAGCCCCAGCCAGGCUCCACACCCUCAGGGGAAUGCUCACGUUUUUGGGAUUGCUUCAAAGCUUGACGAGACACCUCUCCCAGGCUCCCUCCUUCACGCUGGACCACCCCUGGAGGAGGACUCCCUGGAGCCUGCCAAGGAGUACAGGGAUGCUGACAUCAAUGAGGUUGAUGAGGGUAAUCUUGAGAGCCAGCACCAGACCCUGGCGCCUCCUCCACCCCGGCCAGGAUCCCUCCCCCAGGGCCCAUGGAGCCACCAGAGCAUCGUCAUGUCAGCUGUGAAGGUGUUGCUGUAGGGAGGUUUUCAAGUCUUCACAGGCCUUCACAAGUCCUCCAGGGAAUGAAGCCUGCCCGUCUACGAGGAGUACAGUGACGUCACCACAAGCCUUCAGACUGACUACGAUGGUUCAAUGGUGACAGACGCUGAGAAGAAGGACGCCAUGUUCAAGACUGGAGCCCAGGUCACCAGAGGACGAUUUAGACACGAACCGUACCGACGCCUGCCCGUGAACGUACCCUCUUAAACAUGUUCUGUACUCGUCUGUGACCCAGUCGGGAACGCGUCUGAAACAUGUCUGGACGUGUUGGUGUACUGGUUGACUGAGUGUGUGUGUGUGUACAGUUAUUAUAUGGAUUUGUAAUGUGUGUGUGUGUGUGUGUGUGUGUGUUUGUUUGUUUGUUUGUUUGUUUGUUUGUUUGUGUGUGUGUGUGUGUGUGUGUGUGUGUGUGUUUUUCUAGUAUUAUUUAAACUAUUAUUUUUAUUAUUAUUUUGUUUUGUAUUAUUAUUAUUAUUAUUAUUAUUAUUAUUAUUAUUAUUAUUAUUAUUAUUAUUAUUAUUAUUAUUACUUCUAUGUAUUUUAUUAUAGUAAGCUUAUGAGGCAUUUUGUGUGUGUGUGUGUGUGUGUGAGAGAGAGAGAGAGAGAGAGAGAGAGAGAGAGAGAGAGAGAGAGAGAGAGAGAUUGUUAAGUGUUUUCUAAGUAAUGUUUGUUGUUUAUAAGUGACUUGUUAAGUGUGAAGAAGAGGAGGAGGAGGAGGAAGAGGAGGAGGAGGAGGAGGUAUUACAUUGUUAAAAUUACAUAUCUAUUGAAAUAUGUGUGUGUGUGUGUGUGUGUGUGUGUGUGUGUGUGUGUAAAAGUAUUCUUAUCAUAGUAUUAAAGAGAGAGAGAGAGAGAGAGAGAGAGAGAGAGAGAGAGAGAGAGAGAGAGAGAAACAAAAAAAUAAACAUCGAUAAUCAAAAAAUUUUAAAAGACAAAUUAAAUUCAAAAAUAAAUUCAGGUUUUUUCAAAGACAAAUAUUUUUCUGUGUGUGUGUGUGUGUGUGUGUGUGUGUGUGUGUGUGUGUGUGUGUGUGUGUUCUACCAGUGUAAGAUAUCUGAUAAAAACAUACAUUGGAAAGAAAGAAAAGAGAGAGAGAGAGAGAGAGAGAGAGAGAGAGAGAGAGAGAGAGAGAGAGAGAGAGAGAGACGGUGUACAUGACUCAAUAUCAAAUACGUACACAUGACUGUUUUUAAGGAAGAAAAAGAAGAAGAA